rnacentral:rRNA from 1 species
AGGACGAACGCUGGCGGCGUGCCUAACACAUGCAAGUCGAACGGGACGAGGGGGAGCUUGCUCCCCGAGUUAGUGGCGAACGGGUGAGUAACGCGUGAGCAACCUGCCUUUCAGAGGGGGACAACGGUUGGAAACGACCGCUAAUACCGCAUGAAGCAUUUGGAUCGCAUGGUCCGAAUGCCAAAGAUUUUAUCGCUGAAAGAUGGGCUCGCGUCUGAUUAGAUAGUUGGCGGGGUAACGGCCCACCAAGUCGACGAUCAGUAGCCGGACUGAGAGGUUGAACGGCCACAUUGGGACUGAGAUACGGCCCAGACUCCUACGGGAGGCAGCAGUGGGGAAUAUUGGGACCAAUGGGGGAAACCCUGACCCAGCAACGCCGCGUGAAGGAAGAAGGCUUUCGGGUUGUAAACUUCUUUACCAGGGACGAAGGACGUGACGGUACCUGGAGAAAAAGCCACGGCUAACUACGUGCCAGCAGCCGC